AUGAUGAAUGCCCACGCCAACCUAGCUCUGGCCGCUUUGGCAUUCCCAGCCCACAUGCCCAACUCUAAAUCGUCCCACAUCCGAUCACGACGCACCAGACGCCCACUCCUUCCACUCACAAUGGCGGCACAUCCACCAAUCCGAACAAACAUCGGAAUGAGCACCCAUGGCAGUGCCAGUGGCGGCGGGGAGCAAGCCGGCAUCUCCAGCACGGACCGAUUCCGCAUGAUAGACUUCCACCACGUCGAGUUUUGGUGCGCCGAUGCCGCCUCCGCCGCCGCACGCUUCUCCUUCGGGCUCGGCGUGCCACUCGCGGCAGAGUCCGGCCUCUCCACGGGGAACACCGCGCACGCCUCCCACCUACUCCACUCACGCUCGGGCUCUCUCGCGCUCCUCUUCAGCGCCCCAUACGCACAGGGCGACGCGGUCACCGCGUCCGUGCCCUCCUUCGACGCCGACGCCGCACGCCGCUUUACCGCAGAUCACGGCCUGGCGGUGCGCGCCAUGGCCGUCCGUGUCCCGGACGCCGGCGAGGCCUUCCGCACGAGCGUUGACGCUGGAGCGCGCCCGUCCUUUGCCCCUGCUGAGCUUGGACACGGCUUCGAGCUCGCGGAGGUCCAGCUCUACGGAGACGUCGUUCUCCGCUUCGUGAGCCACCCAGACGACACGGCCAUACCCUUCUUGCCGGGGUUCGGGAGCGUCCCCAGCUCCGGGGCUACACCGGACUACGGGCUCACGCGGUUUGACCACAUCGUCGGCGACGUCCCUCACCUGGCUCCGGUCGCUGCAUACAUAGCCGGGUUCACAGGGUUCCACGAGUUCUCUCGCUUCACUGCGGACCAGGUGGGCACGGCCGAGAGCUCCCUCAACGUCGUGGUGCUCGCCAACAAUUCAGAGAACGUGCUGCUCACCGUCGUCGAGCCAGUGCAUGGCACCAAGCGCCGGAGCCAGGUACAGACCUACCUGGACCACCACGGCGGCCCAGGCGUGCAGCACCUGGCGAUGGCCAGCAACGACGUGCUUGGCACGUUGAGGAAGAUUCGUGGGCGGUCCACCAUGGGCGGCUUUGAGCUUCUGCCACCGCCACCGGCCAGCUACUAUGACGAUGUAAGGCGGCGCGCUGGGGACGUGCUGUCAGAAGCACAGAUUAAGGGGUGCCAGGAGCUAGGCGUACGGGUGGACAAGGAUGACCAUGGAGGUGUUGUGCUCCAAAUCUUCACAAAGGCGGCGGGCGACAGGCCAACCUUGCUCUUGGAGUUUAUCCAAAGGAUCGGAUGCAUGGACAAGGACGAGAACGGGCAGGAAUACCAGAGAGGUGGCUGCGGUGGAUUUGGCCAGGGUAACGUCACUGAGCUGUUCAAGUCCAUUGAGGACUAUGAAAAGUCCCUUGACGCUUCUGCACGCCUGGCCGCCUAA
rnacentral:rRNA from 1 species